CAAAAUCCAUAACAUGUUAGCAGGACUUAUCUAGCUGCCUCCACAGAAUAGCCAAGCAACUCUACACCCGCUUUAGCCCCCACAAAAACAAGCGGAUUGCACUACAAAUAAUUUGCCUAUUUGGAAAAUGAAAGCUUCUCUGUAGUUUGAGGUCCUAUUUUUUCUUUAAGUUGUUACAGUCUUUUCAUGGUCCUUGAGGUCUAGGUUAGGUUUUUGUUUGGGGUAAUUUUUGUAUCCUAUGGAUACUAUUUAAUCUUUAGUAUUGAGUCAGUAUUUCUCACUUAGGCCUUAGGGGAAUACUGCCUGAAGUAUGUAGGGGGCAUGCGGAAUUCAGACGUGGCUUGGAAACUGCACCAUGGGUUCACCCAAGAAACAGACCAGAGGCAACACAUUCUAUCACUAAAACGUGUUCUCAGUUACACUUCCCUUCCAAAGGUAUCUCUGUUCAAGCCAACACCCGCUAGCUUAUGCUGAGUCUUUUUUUCCUGAAGAUACUCCUAAAGAAUACUCCAUGAUCUCAUCAGUAACACCAGCCCAUGUGACCGUAACUCUCACUCAACGAGGAGAAAAUAUACAAAGAGAAGAUGAAGAGACAACCAAACAGGAUUAUUUGUGCCCAUGAGGGAAACACGAAGGAUUGUCAGUAUUCAUUUGCUAUCAGAACUGCCUUUGAACUUCAGGGAAGCCGCCAUCUUGUUUUAGUUCACUCCUCUAAAGCACAGUGUCUGCAACAUGAAACACUAGUAAGACACAGUUAUCCAGAAAGAGCCCUAGAGAUGGAUAAGGAACCUGUUGGAAUGCUCUGAUAUUAAGAAAAAAAAAAUUAAAUUCAAAACCAAAAACAAGUCACAAGUGUCCACAAGAAGUUUUUUCCUGGAAGUCUUUUUUUCAGAGAAAUCUAUGUACCACGGCUGUGUUCAAACAUGAUACAGAGACCCCAAAUGCCACUUGCUUGCUGUCUUCCUGGGAACAGGAUGAGGAUGUAAUCUGAGCUUUUUAGGGUCUAUCUCUACAUUGCAACAUCAUAACACUGAAGUGUAGAUUUAUAGCUGCUUUAUGUAUAUUUUCUUACUCCCAAAGCCCCCCUUUUUACAGAUACAUACACAACAUGUCAUGUAGAAAAAUAUAAAUUGUUGACCGUACAGGCACUUUCUUCCUUUUUAAACCUUUCCAAAGGUCUUUUUGUUAAAUACACCCAGAUGCCGUUUGACAGAUGAGGGGCUAAUUGCUCUGUGAAUUACCUCUAUCGAUUCCUGUUUCAUGUUGAGCCAAACAAACAAAAGAUAUUAAUGCUUUGAAAAAAAUGAAUGAUGACCUUUCUCUGCAAACACAGCUUGCGGUCUCUGAUUAUUGGUGAUUCCAGAGAGCAGCGGUCAAUCGCAAUAGCUGUAACGCUAUGAUCACUAUAAUAAGCUUGCCUGACCUUCUCUGCCAUGUUAAGUGGUUUAAAUUUAUUUGCCCAACAACAGAAGAGCUUUCACUUAAAGUCACAGAACAUUCAAUUCAAUUUAAAGAUGUAGUGUCUUCUUUCCUCUUCUUCCCCUUCCGUAUCUUUCCCUACUUGAUACACCUACAUGUCAAAUUUACUAAUUGUUUUAUCAUUCUAAAUUAGCCUGAUACCUGAAAAGCAAAUUCCUUCAGUUCUUAAAGAUUCCAAUUGCCAUUUUCUCUUUUGAUUUGUUGUUUCUUGCUCUAAGACAUUUGAAACACUUUGUUUUUUUCUCUGUUUAAGUUUUGUCCAUGAUUCAGGUUUAAUGUGUGCUGCAUAAAAAGUCAAGAAUCCAUGAGCUGGGUAGUGCUAAGCACCCCCAGCUUGGGAACCAGGGGUAUGGUUCCAUUUUUGUCCUUAAUUAAUGGGACCUUGAACCAAUAUAUAUAUUUUUUUCCUCAGAGCAUUUCCUUCCAACUUGGUAAAUGAGGGGAAAACUGCCAGGUGAUCUACCUCAGAGCCUCUUUCCAACUGGAACAUGCUUAUGUUUCAGAUCUCUCUAUUUAAAGCAUAGUUUCAUAUAGAUGGCAGAGUUAUAACUUGGCAGCUAAGAUAAAGUGAUGAUAGGACCUUUAAGGACUUCCUAACUGUUUCUCAACGAAGUUUUAUGAUGGUGAAAAUGUGCAAACCACAAAUGACUAAAGCCUUAAAUGGUUAGGAAGUGGAUGCACCCCCACCCCCACCCAUAGUUUAAAUGGAAAUCUCUUGAAAAGGGUACCCCUGACACUCCCACCAAUUUCCUGGUAAGAGGCACGCCAAAAAUACCAAGGAAGUAGUUUCCCUUAGAAUACUUUAGUUCCUGUGCUAUAGGAUCAAAGCAGGAAGUGAAGAGAAAAACACCACAAAUAAUCAAAAGACUUCCUGCCUUAGUUUGACAUUCUCAAGCAGUUAGGUCUGAAUUCACAUAGGAUGCUGGGUAUCCCUAAGGUGACUUUUCUUAGACAUUGUCUCUAGUUUCUACUUAAGACAGUGCCCAAUAGUACUGCCAAGCCAUCCCUUGACCAUACUUGACUUGGCUAUGUUAAGUACCAUGUUGAGUUAAAAAAAAAUGCAAAGCAUGGUUCCUGCUUGUGUCAGGCGCCUUGCUGCGGCCUCAAAGCACCAGGCUGCUUCUCAGCACGAGGAUAUUUGCAAAUGUGAUUGUGCUUUCUCUGCGAAGAAUGCCCUUCUACUCUUUUUCUCUUCAAAAUCCAAUGUUAGUGCCUUCCUAAUCCCUAUUCACUCUUUAAAAUUUCACGUGGCAUUAUCCCUCUUCCAGAAUGCCUCUUAUACCAUCCUAUUAAGGAUUCACCAUAGCACCCAAGGCACACUUUUAUCUCAGCACUUUGCGCAUCUAUUUUAUUGACUGCUCCAUUUUUCUGUUUUCCCUGGAAAUUUGCACUUUGUAUCUCAGGCCUCUGCCACGGAACUUGGGGCUUAGGAAGUGUCCAACUGAUGUUUGAAAAUUAAUAAAUGAAUGAAAGAAUAAAUCUUAUUGUGACUGCUAUAUAACAAACCAUUCCAAAAGGUAGUGGCUUUAGACAGCUAGGGUUUAUGAUCACUCAUGCAUCCGGAGAUCAGUUAGGACAUAGUUGAUCAUAGCUAAGCUUGGCUGGGAUGGCUCAGCUGAUUCUGUUCUCUAUGUUCUUCAUCUUCCCCUUGGGACAAACAGUGCUGCCCAGGUAUGUUCUCAUGGCUAAGCAUAAGCAUAAGAAAGAAAGCAAUACCAUGCAAUGCCUCUUAGGGCAUGCUCUCAUUUCUACCUUAUUCUUUUGGCCACAGCAAGUCAUAUGGGUAACCCUAAGUCAGGGGAUAAGCUCAUAUACUUAUCUCCUUAAGUCACAUGUGAAAAUCACACAUCAUAGGCCAUAGAUACAAGGAGAGAUAAAAAAUUGGUCACAAUAAUAAAACCAAACCUAUCAAAAAGAAAAUGCUAACAACCAUGUUAAGAACAGAAAAUUUGAAUACUAACAGAGCCAUUUGACCAAUCUCAAGUAUUAACGACUCUAUCUUCAUGUCACCAACAUAUAACCCAGCCACUUUAAUGGCACAUGUGUCCCAUAAAUAUUUACCAGAUUGUGUUAGAUCAUAGGAAGUAAAUAGAGAAAUCACAAUUGGACGCAUCCUGGUAAAUUUAAUUUUAUGCUUUUUAGAAAGAAAAUACUCAUGGCAGGCACAUGCAAGUGUUAUGGACACAAAAUGAAAAGCUAAAUGAUAAAUGUUUAUCUUGUAUGCAUGAAGAUACUUUGACUUCUGUUUACAUAUGUCACCGUGGAAGCUGGUUUAAAAACAUUUAAGUCCCCCUAGUAGUUCCACAUCCAACGACUCCCUUUCUCCUGGACACCUUCUUAUUUUCCUUAUAACAAGUUUGGAGAAAGGUCAGGUAGGCAUUGCUGGCAAGUCUUCUUUUCAGAGUUUCUGCUCAAUCACAGAGCUGAUGUUCAAUCUCCGAAGUCGAGGCGUUGAUUUACCAGGAAGAACAUAGUUAACUUAAAAGCAGAAAAAGCCCCGGUGGUAAUCAAGCCCUGUGAAUUCCUGGCCCUCUUCCCCGGAGGCCCAGUGGGGCCCACUCAACGGGCCAACCCCACACCAUGCAUACUGGAUUGGUGGUCCUCUUAUCAUAGAAAAUUCCGCCAGUGUGGCCAAAACAUACAAAAGGAAGCACACAAGAAAAAAUGUGAAUAUAAUAUGCAGGCCCUGGAUUGAGUUUUAUG
rnacentral:lncRNA from 1 species